ACAUAAUAUAAUUGUAACACGUGGAUCAGAGAUUAAAUUAUCAAUUUCAUAUUGUUUUUUUUUUUACAGAAAGAAACCAGAACAUAUUAUCAACCUUUGAGAACACAAUAUAACGAACUUUACCAUUUUACCACUUCUUUGAACAGGAAACAUCCCAGGACAUUGAAGAAUGGCAGAUGAUCGGAAAGAUGAAGCAAAGGCGCCUCACUGGACCUCAGCUCAACUUACAGAGGCAUCCGCCCAACCACACCCACCGGAGAUCAAGGAUCAAGGUGGGGCAGGGGAAGGACUUGUCAGAAGCGCCAAUGGAUUCCCCUACAGAGAGGAUGAAGAGGGCGCCUUUGGAGAACAUGGGUCCCAGGGCACCUACUCAAAUACCAAAGAGAACGGAAUCAACGGAGAACUGACCUCAACUGACAGAGAAACAGCAGAGGAGGUGUCUGCAAGGAUAGUUCAAGUAGUCACGGCGGAAGCUGUAGCAGUCCUGAAAGGUGAACAAGAGAAAGAAGCUCAGCCUAAAGAUCAACCUCCUGCUCUGCCCUUUAGCAGCUGAAGAGACAGCUAAUCUGCCUCCUUCUCCACCCCCAUCACCAGCCUCAGAACAGACUGUCCCAGUGGAGGAAGGUUUACUUACAGCCUCGAAGAUGGAGUUUCAUGAUCAACAAGAAUUGACUCCCUCUCCAGCCGAGCCACUAGACAAGAAGGAAAAGGAACCAGAGACAGAAAGUAAGCCUGGUGAAGACCUUAAGCAUGCUGCCUUAGUUUCUGAGCUGGAAACAACUAAAACUUCCCCUGAAUCUUCUCUAAUUCAAGACGAGAUUGCCAUCAAAUUGUCUGUGGAAAUACCCUGUGCACCCGUUGUUUCAGAGGCUGAUGUAGCCGCAGAUGAGAGAGCUGAUGUCCAGAUGGAAUUUAUUCAGCCACCAAAAGAAGAAAGCCAAGAGACCCCGGAUAUUUCCAUCACACCCUCUGAUGUUACCGAGCCGUUGCCUGAAGCUGCCAGAGCUGAACCAGCGGAGGCUCAGAGCGAGGAAGAAGAGAUCGAAGCCCAGGGAGAAUAUGACAAGUUGCUCUUCCGCUCAGACACCCUUCAGAUUACCGACCUGGGUGCCCCAGGCGUCAGGGAGGAGUUUGUGGAGACCUGUCCUGGUGAGCACAAAGGAGUGAUUGAGUCUGUCGUAACCAUCGAGGACGACUUCAUCACCGUCGUGCAAACCACAACUGAUGAAGGGGAAUCAGGGUCCCACAGUGUGCGUUUUGCAGCCCUCGAGCAGCCCGAGGUGGAAAGGAGACCGUCACCCCAUGCUGAAGAAGAACUUGAAGUAGAAGAGGCAGCUGAAGCCCAGGCUGAACCCAAGGACGGUUCCCCAGAGGCUCCGGCUUCCCCUGAGAGAGAAGAGGUUGGACUCUCAGAAUAUAAGACAGAAACCUAUGAGGAUUACAAAGAUGAAACCACCAUUGAUGACUCCAUCAUGGAUGCUGACAGCCUCUGGGUGGACACUCAAGAUGAUGAUAGAAGCAUCAUGACAGAACAGUUAGAAACUAUCCCUAAAGAGGAGAAAGCUGAAAAGGAAGCUCGGAGAUCAUCUCUUGAGAAACAUAGAAAAGAAAAGCCUUUUAAAACCGGGAGAGGCAGAAUUUCCACUCCUGAAAGAAAAAUAGCUAAAAAGGAACCUAGCACAGUCUCCAGAGAUGAAGUGAGAAGGAAAAAAGCAGUUUAUAAGAAGGCUGAACUUGCUAAAAAAACAGAAGUUCAGGCCCACUCUCCCUCCAGGAAAUUCAUUUUAAAACCUGCUAUCAAAUAUACUAGACCAACUCAUCUCUCCUGUGUUAAGCGGAAAACGACAGCAGCAGGUGCUGAAUCAGCUCAGGCUCCCAGUGUAUUUAAACAGGCAAAGGACAAAGUCUCUGAUGGAGUUACCAAGAGCCCAGAGAAGCGCUCUUCUCUGCCGAGACCUUCCUCCAUCCUUCCUCCUCGCCGAGGUGUCUCAGGAGACAGAGAUGAGAACUCCUUCUCUCUCAACAGUUCUAUCUCUUCUGCGCGGCGGACCACUCGGUCAGAGCCAAUUCGCAGAGCAGGAAAAAGUGGCACUUCCACACCCACUACCCCUGGAUCAACCGCCAUCACUCCUGGCACCCCACCAAGCUAUUCUUCACGCACCCCGGGCACUCCUGGAACCCCCAGCUACCCCAGGACCCCUCACACACCAGGAACCCCCAAGUCGGCCAUCUUGGUUCCCAGUGAGAAGAAAGUCGCCAUUAUACGCACGCCUCCGAAAUCUCCUGCUACUCCCAAACAGCUUCGGCUUAUCAACCAACCACUGCCAGACCUGAAGAAUGUCAAAUCCAAAAUUGGAUCCACAGACAACAUCAAAUACCAGCCUAAAGGGGGCCAGGUACAGAUUGUCACCAAGAAGAUAGACCUAAGCCAUGUGACAUCCAAAUGUGGCUCUCUGAAGAACAUCCGCCACAGGCCAGGUGGUGGGCGUGUGAAAAUUGAAAGUGUGAAGCUAGAUUUCAAAGAAAAGGCCCAAGCUAAAGUCGGUUCGCUUGACAAUGCUCACCACGUUCCCGGAGGUGGUAAUGUCAAGAUUGACAGCCAAAAGUUGAACUUCAGAGAGCAUGCUAAGGCCCGUGUGGACCAUGGGGCUGAGAUCAUUACACAGUCCCCAGGCAGAUCCAGCGUGGCUUCCCCCCGACGACUCAGCAACGUCUCCUCUUCUGGAAGCAUCAACCUGCUUGAAUCCCCCCAGCUUGCCACCCUGGCCGAGGAUGUCACUGCCGCACUCGCUAAACAGGGCUUGUGAAUAUCUCUCAUUUAGUAUUGAUGUCAUACUAUUUAGGCAUGAGCUCUGGCAGGAGUGGGCUCUGAGCAGGUGUUAUAUUCAUUCUUUACAAACCGUAAAAUAAAUAAUCUCAUUCCCAAACUGUAGUAAUUGUUACAAUUUUAUAAAAAAAAAUAGUAUAUGCAGAAAUUGAUUUGAUUUCCAUUUGCAACAGGAAGAUACUGGCUUUACAUGAGUACAAUUGGACAAUUUUUUUUUCGCUCUGCUGUUUUGCAUGGAGUAUCAUUAUUUUAAAAAUUGCAUUUCUACCUUUCAUGUGCCUGAAGGCUAUCUACUACAUUCUGAAAGGCCUUGUUAAAAUCCAAGCUGCUCAUUUCACUAUUCUGUUGCUGGGUGAAAAGAUAAAAAGUUGCCCCUUGUAACUUAUUACAGGUUAAAUUAAAUCAAGGAGUCAUUGCAGGAAGGGAAGAGCAUGUAAGAAAUGGUUUUUUUUUAAAGCGUUAUUUUGUAUAAAUGGGAAGAAAGAUUCAAUUAAGUUAUUAACGUUUGGGACCUGGAUAAUUAUAUCAGAGUAUAAGUCAAUCCAAUAAAUUAUUUAAUUAAUUAAAAAAUAGUUUCGAAGCAUUUGAGCUGUGGUUGAGGAAGUGAAAGUGCAUCUCUUAGGAAUGAAGCACUUUCAUUAGGAUGGACUUGUGUCUGGUUAGGAUGUCAGUUGAUCAGCUAGAUUUGUGUCCACACUACCAGUUUCACACCCUUUCCAUCUGUUUGAUACAGUAUUAUAGAUAUAAAUAUAUAUAUAUAUUUCUCUGUGGCCAUUUGUGAUACUUCCUCAUACUUGAAUAUUAUACUUCCUUAUUCACAGUAUCUGUGUCUCCUGCACCCUUUGGUGUUGCAAUUUUAGGUAUGUGAAAGUAGAUGUUAGCAGGGUUCUCUCCCUAUU
rnacentral:lncRNA from 1 species